rnacentral:lncRNA from 1 species
CUAAACUUCGAAGAGCAGAUAAGUUGAAAAAUAAUUUUGUAACAAAGUUCUAUUAAAAAUAAUUUAAAAAUAGUUGUGACAAUGGGUAUUGUGUUGGAAAGGUGCCGACUGAAGAGCAGAUAGAAGCGCUUGAGUGGCUCCAUGCGCAGAACCAUGUCCUCCUUCAGCGCUGCUUCCUCUCCGGCCGAUGGCCAGCUGUUGAUUCUGAAAUGUGCUUUAUUGAGAAUGGCAAUGGAACUUCUCCUUCCUCUUUUAAAGUGGUCAGUGUAGCGAGAUAUGGUUUACCUUAGUAAGCUUCCACAUCAUAUUCCUAGAAGAAGGGAAGAUGAACGGAAAAAAUAGAGAAAGAUGAGGGGAAAAGAAAUUAGGAUGAGAAAUUAAAAAAUUGAGUGGGAAUUUUGUUGGGAAGAUGAAAGAAUUGGAGGGAAGGAGAGAGAAGGGAAGGGAAAAGUCUUUUUUAAAAAUUUAUUUAUAUUUUAUUCUAAUUCUAAUUUUUUAGUAAGAACAAU